CCUACGGGGGGCUGCAGUGGGGAAUAUUGCACAAUGGGCGCAAGCCUGAUGCAGCCAUGCCGCGUGUGUGAAGAAGGCCUUCGGGUUGUAAAGCACUUUCAGCGGGGAGGAAGGCGGUGAGGUUAAUAACCUCAUCGAUUGACGUUACCCGCAGAAGAAGCACCGGCUAACUCCGUGCCAGCAGCCGCGGUAAUACGGAGGGUGCAAGCGUUAAUCGGAAUUACUGGGCGUAAAGCGCACGCAGGCGGUCUGUCAAGUCGGAUGUGAAAUCCCCGGGCUCAACCUGGGAACUGCAUUCGAAACUGGCAGGAUAGAGUCUUGUAGAGGGGGGUAGAAUUCCAGGUGUAGCGGUGAAAUGCGUAGAGAUCUGGAGGAAUACCGGUGGCGAAGGCGGCCCCCUGGACAAAGACUGACGCUCAGGUGCGAAAGCGUGGGGAGCAAACAGGAUUAGAUACCCGGGUAGUC
rnacentral:rRNA from 1 species